rnacentral:snoRNA from 1 species
AUCAAGGAUGAUGAAAUCAGAAAAAUCUUAGGACACCUUCUGACACAGUAAUGCCAAUUCUGUGUGUGAGAAAAGAUUAUGUUUUUCUGAUCUUGAU